GUUGGCAGCAUAUACACAUGGAGGUAUCCGAAUGUAACAAGGGUGAGGGAUAUGAGAAUAGCGUCCAAUCAUUUCCGAAGCAGUAUGCGUGGUUUUUCCUUUGUGUAAACAAGAUAGAUAAAUCCUUGGACUAUUAUACUAGUUAAAUCGCAGAACAGUGUUCUCGACUUUUUCGUAAAAAUUCUACUUCGUAGCGCGUCGUCGGCUACGGCAAGUGCAGAUGAUGAUGAUGAAACGGACCUGCGGACAAGUUUGGUCUGAAAUUGAGCCAAGCAGAGCUAUG
rnacentral:lncRNA from 1 species